GUCGAGAAUCUUCCGCAAUGGGCGCAAGCCUGACGGAGCGACGCCGCGUGGAGGAAGAAGGCCUUCGGGUUGUAAACUCCUGUCACGACUUACGAACACCGGGGAACUAACUACCCCCGGCUGACGAAGGGUCGGAAGGAAGCCACAGCUAACUUCGUGCCAGCAGCUGCGGUAAGACGAAGGUGGCAAGCGUUGUUCGGAUUCACUGGGCAUAAAGGGCGCGUAGGCUGUUCCGCAAGCGGCUCGUGAAAUCCUCUGGCUCAACCAGAGAAGUGCGGGCCGGACUGCGGUGCUUGAGGGCGGUAGGGGAGAGUGGAACUCUCGGUGGAGCGGUGAAAUGCGUAGAUAUCGAGAGGAACACCGGUGGCGAAGGCGACUCUCUGGUCCGCCCCUGACGCUGAGGCGCGAAAGCGUGGGUAGCAAACAGGAUUAGAAACCCUGGUAGUCC
rnacentral:rRNA from 1 species